GACGAACGCUGGCGGCGUGCUUAACACAUGCAAGUCGAACGAUGAACCCGGAGCUUGCUCCGGUGGAUUAGUGGCGAACGGGUGAGUAACACGUGAGUAACCUGCCCUUGACUCUGGGAUAACUGCGGGAAACUGUAGCUAAUACCGGAUACGACCCUCGGCGGCAUCGCCAGGGGGUGGAAAGAAUUUCGGUCAAGGAUGGACUCGCGGCCUAUCAGCUAGUUGGUGAGGUAACGGCUCACCAAGGCGACGACGGGUAGGCGGCCUGAGCGGGUGGCCGGACACACUGGGACUGAGAAACGGCCCAGACUCCUACGGGAGGCAGAAGUGGGGAAUAUUGCACAAUGGGCGCAAGCCUGAUGCAGCAACGCCGCGUGAGGGAUGGCGGCAUUCGGGUUGUAAACCUCUUUUAGUAGGGAAGAAGCGAAAGUGACGGUACCUGCAGAAAAAGCACCGGCUAACUACGUGCCAGCCGCCGCCGUAAAAC
rnacentral:rRNA from 1 species